AUUUUAACCUCUCUUAGAAAACUUCCAUGAGAGUUGUUGUGAAAUAGAGCUACACCUAAUAUCAUCAUUUCCAUACAAGUUGAGGCUUGAAAUGGAGAAUUGAAGGCAUCAACAACCACUUUAGAAUCUAAAGAGAAGAUAACAUGUGUGAAGCCAAGUUCUCCAUCGCUGCCAGUAAACUACAAACAACUCGUACAUGAUAAAAUCAGGCCUUCUUGAACCAAUGAAACAAGAAGCUGCAAAUCAACAAUGGAAAAACUUAGACAAGCUAAACCAGGGAAAAGAGAGGGGACUUAUGAUGACAAAAGCAUAGAACACACACAACACAUGAAAAGGAAGGAAAAGGAGUCCUAUAUAGAAUUGCACUGCGCCAAGAAAGAUAGAGGUAAUAGAUGAAGUGACGUGAACAGGUUUAGGAUCACAGAAUCGUAUCUCUAUGGGCCAGGGAAUGAAUUCAGCUGUAGCAACUUUGUUCCGGACUAAAACCAAUCAAGCACAACCCAAGUAUAUAUAAAUGCCUUUCAUACCAAGAAAACAGAAGAUUGGGAUAUCAUUUUAUAUAAUUGCACUAUCAGGAUGGUCCUCCAAAUGGCAUUUCAUCUUUUAAUUCCCAGCAGUAACUACUAUUUGAAACAUAUGAAGUUAAAGAUAACUGCUUGUCUUUAAUGCUAAAUUUUUUUGUUAUCAUACUGUAUUCAUUUAAGAAUGAUAAGAAAAUGAAUAAAUGAAA